rnacentral:rRNA from 1 species
CAAACCAAAGCUGGCGACCGGCGCACGGGUAAGUAACACGUAUCCAACCUGCCUCAUACUCGGGGAUAGCCUUUCGAAAGAAAGAUUAAUAUCCGAUAGCAUAUAUUUCCCGCAUGGGUUUUAUAUUAAAGAAAUUCGGUAUGAGAUGGGGAUGCGUUCCAUUAGUUUGUUGGGGGGUAACGGCCCACCAAGACUACGAUGGAUAGGGGUUCUGAGAGGAAGGUCCCCCACAUUGGAACUGAGACACGGUCCAA